UACGGGGGGAGCAAGCGUUGUUCGGAUUUACUGGGCGUAAAGGGCGCGUAGGCGGUCAGCACAAGUCAGUUGUGAAAUCUCCGGGCUUAACUCGGAAAGGUCAACUGAUACUGUGCGACUAGAGUGCAGAAGGGGCAACUGGAAUUCUCGGUGUAGCGGUGAAAUGCGUAGAUAUCGAGAGGAACGCCUGCGGCGAAGGCGGGUUGCUGGGCCGACACUGACGCUGAUGCGCGAAAGCCAGGGGAGCGAACGGG
rnacentral:rRNA from 1 species